GCCAUUUGAAAUGAAGAAUGCUCAGGAACAACACACGCGGUACAGGCUGGUAAUAAUCACACACGUCUGCAGGAUCCUGUCUGACAUCUCUACGCUGCGGUCGCUAGGACGCCUCAGUCAUUUCCUGGAACAGCUGGGUUUAACCCAAACCGGGGAAACUGUGCAAUUAUGUGUAACUAGUUUCAGCUAGUUACUAGUAACUAGUUAUUUUCAUAUUUGUUGUCUCAGGACAGUGGACGAACAACAAAGUGAAGAAAGAACGUCUUCCUCAUCCGGGGUUUCUAUUGAAGUGCCCACAGCUCACGCAAACGUCGCAGCAAAGGAACUAACCUCUGCAGCAGAAAAGAACGAGUCAUCAGAGGUAACGGUGGUUGCAUCGUCAUCUUGCAACCUGUGGAAACUCUCUACUUGAGGCAAGAUAAGAGUUCCUUCACUUUCUGCAAAAGAAGGACCAAAGCACAGCUGUCACUAAAAGAGACAUAAGAUGUAUGUGCGUUCCGUCCGGCUGCUGUUACAGCCGACUCUAACCAUCCUGCUCUGUUCUGUUUUACUUUUAUUAAUAAUAUUAAAAAUGUUCAGAUCCCCUGG